CUUUUUAUUUGGUUUGGCGGGCAUUUAAGCUUAUGUUUCUCCAUCUGUGGGAACAGGUGAUGAGGAGGAAUGGGAUCAGCAGUGUGUUUGGCAUUCAGAGCUCCUCUCUGGCCUUGAUAAAUUGGACAUGUGUAUGGAUCAGCUACAAGAGGACCAGGAAAAAUGGAUGGCACAGGCAGGAGAUUGGUCUACAAACAUUCAUGCUACAGUAAGAACAGUUGCUUUAUGGUUUAUUGCUGUGACUUCAGCUGUGUAAGUGAGUGACACCGUUAGGCCAAAAGUUCACUUCCUCUUUUAUGCCAGCAGUAAAAAAUGUAUGCAAUAGAGAGGUUUGGAACGUCUUGUAGUUAAACUUUAACGCCAGCUCUUUGCUGUGAAAAGCACUUUCUAACACUGUAAAUAACAAGGCUGUCAUUAUUUUUCCUGCAGGACAGAGAGCUGAGACAGAGAAAGCUGGUGGAGCAGUGUUGUUCCAGACAGACUGAGUUGGAGGCCGCUCUUAAUCCGCUUCACUUUAUCAGACACCUUUCGCUGCUCCGUGCAGACACUGCUCAGGCUGUACUGUGUGGGAAGUUUUGGUUCAAGGAAUAUGGCCUGGUGCAGUACAGUGGAUACAAACAGAAUGUGAAGAUCAUGGGUUUGCUUCAGCAGAAGGCUUUGCCUCUGCUCGAGAGACUGAACCAGCUCCUUGAAGAAAAACAGCCAGCUGGAUUCUCCUCCAACACAUGCAAUCAGCACAUCUCUGGUUUGUCAACAAAGCAGGCAUAUGGUUUGGAGAUUGCAUCUAGAGUCUGGACAGCCUCCGUGCCUGUCGUGAAAGGUAUGUGCCAUAUGAGUGCAUAUGUAGAAAUAGUGCAUAUAAGCAUACAAAUAUGUUCAAUAUGCCAAAAAGCACAUUAAAGCAUUUAA
rnacentral:lncRNA from 1 species